AGCUUUGCGCAGUGGCAGUAUCAUAGCCAAUGAGGUUUAUCCGAGGCACGAUUAUUGCUAAUUGAAUACAGGUAUAAUUUUACUUGAAUAAAUUCUCUGUCUUCUCUGUAAUUCCAAAAUUCCACAGUGACACCACU
ensembl:snRNA U4 U4 spliceosomal RNA